rnacentral:rRNA from 1 species
UACGAAGGGGGCUAGCGUUGUUCGGAAUCACUGGGCGUAAAGGGCGCGUAGGCGGCCGAUCAAGUCGAGGGUGAAAGCCUGUGGCUUAACCACAGAAUUGCCUUCGAUACUGUUUGGCUUGAGACCGGAAGAGGUUAGUGGAACUGCGAGUGUAGAGGUGAAAUUCGUAGAUAUUCGCAAGAACACCAGUGGCGAAGGCGGCUGACUGGUCCGGUUCUGACGCUGAGGCGCGAAAGCGUGGGGAGCAAACAGG